rnacentral:rRNA from 1 species
UGGGGAAUAUUGCACAAUGGAGGGAACUCUGAUGCAGCGACGCCGCGUGAACGAAGAAGGCUUUUGAGUCGUAAAGUUCUUUUAUAUGGGAAGAUAAUGACGGUACCAUAAGAAGAAGCCCCGGCUAACUACGUGCCAGCAGCCGCGGUAAUACGUAGGGGGCUAGCGUUGUCCGGAAUCACUGGGCGUAAAGGGUUCGCAGGCGGAAAUGCAAGUCAGGUGUAAAAGGCAGUAGCUUAACUACUGUAAGCAUUUGAAACUGCAUAUCUUGAGAAGAGUAGAGGUAAGUGGAAUUUUUAGUGUAGCGGUGAAAUGCGUAGAUAUUAAAAAGAAUACCGGUGGCGAAGGCGACUUACUGGGCUCAUUCUGACGCUGAGGAACGAAAGCGUGGGUAGCAAACAGG